rnacentral:rRNA from 1 species
GAGUUUGAUCCUGGCUCAGGACGAACGCUGGCGGCGUGCUUAACACAUGCAAGUCGAGCGAUGAAGCUUCCUUCGGGAAGUGGAUUAGCGGCGGACGGGUGAGUAACACGUGGGUAACCUGCCUCAAAGUGGGGGAUAGCCUUCCGAAAGGAAGAUUAAUACCGCAUAAUAUAAGAGAAUCGCAUGAUUUUCUUAUCAAAGAUUUAUUGCUUUGAGAUGGACCCGCGGCGCAUUAGCUAGUUGGUGAGGUAACGGCUUACCAAGGCAACGAUGCGUAGCCGACCUGAGAGGGUGAUCGGCCACAUUGGAACUGAGACACGGUCCAGACUCCUACGGGAGGCAGCAGUGGGGAAUAUUGCGCAAUGGGGGAAACCCUGACGCAGCAACGCCGCGUGGGUGAUGAAGGUCUUCGGAUUGUAAAGCCCUGUUUUCUAGGACGAUAAUGACGGUACUAGAGGAGGAAGCCACGGCUAACUACGUGCCAGCAGCCGCGGUAAUACGUAGGUGGCGAGCGUUGUCCGGAUUUACUGGGCGUAAAGGGUGCGUAGGCGGAUGUUUAAGUGGGAUGUGAAAUCCCCGGGCUUAACCUGGGGGCUGCAUUCCAAACUGGAUAUCUAGAGUGCAGGAGAGGAAAGCGGAAUUCCUAGUGUAGCGGUGAAAUGCGUAGAGAUUAGGAAGAACACCAGUGGCGAAGGCGGCUUUCUGGACUGUAACUGACGCUGAGGCACGAAAGCGUGGGUAGCAAACAGGAUUAGAUACCCUGGUAGUCCACGCCGUAAACGAUGGAUACUAGGUGUAGGGGGUAUCAACUCCCCCUGUGCCGCAGUUAACACAAUAAGUAUCCCGCCUGGGGAGUACGGUCGCAAGAUUAAAACUCAAAGGAAUUGACGGGGGCCCGCACAAGCAGCGGAGCAUGUGGUUUAAUUCGAAGCAACGCGAAGAACCUUACCUGGACUUGACAUCCCUUGCAUAGCCUAGAGAUAGGUGAAGCCCUUCGGGGCAAGGAGACAGGUGGUGCAUGGUUGUCGUCAGCUCGUGUCGUGAGAUGUUAGGUUAAGUCCUGCAACGAGCGCAACCCUUGUUAUUAGUUGCUACCAUUAAGUUGAGCACUCUAAUGAGACUGCCUGGGUAACCAGGAGGAAGGUGGGGAUGACGUCAAAUCAUCAUGCCCCUUAUGUCCAGGGCUACACACGUGCUACAAUGGUAGGUACAAUAAGACGCAAGACCGUGAGGUGGAGCAAAACUUAUAAAACCUAUCUCAGUUCGGAUUGUAGGCUGCAACUCGCCUACAUGAAGCUGGAGUUGCUAGUAAUCGCGAAUCAGAAUGUCGCGGUGAAUACGUUCCCGGGCCUUGUACACACCGCCCGUCACACCAUGAGAGCUGGUAACACCCGAAGUCCGUGAGGUAACCGUAAGGAGCCAGCGGCCGAAGGUGGGAUUAGUGAUUGGGGUGAAGUCGUAACAAGGUAGCCGUAGGAGAACCUGCGGCUGGAUCACC